rnacentral:sRNA from 1 species
UCAUGCAUGAAGUCUACGUAGCGCUGCU